UACGUAGGGGGCAAGCGUUGUCCGGAAUCAUUGGGCGUAAAGAGCGUGUAGGCGGCUCGGUAAGUCCGCUGUGAAAGUCCAGGGCUCAACCCUGGAAUGCCGGUGGAAACUGUCGAGCUAGAGUCCGGAAGAGGCGAGUGGAAUUCCUGGUGUAGCGGUGAAAUGCGUAGAUAUCGGGAGGAACACCUGUGGCGAAAGCGGCGCACUGGACCAUUACUGACGCUGAUGCACGAAAGCUAGGGGAGCAAACAGG
rnacentral:rRNA from 1 species